rnacentral:rRNA from 1 species
CCCUUAGAUGUUCUGGGCCGCACGCGCGCUACACUGACAGAGCCAACGAGUUCUUCGCCUUGGCCGGAAGGUCUGGGUAAUCUUGUUAAACUCUGUCGUGCUGGGGAUAGAGCAUUGCAAUUAUUGCUCUUCAACGAGGAAUGCCUAGUAAGCGCGUGUCAUCAGCACGCGUUGAUUACGUCCCUGCCCCUUGUACACACCGCCCGUCGCUACUACCGAUUGAAUGGCUCAGUGAGGCCUUCGGACUGGCUCAGGGAGGUUGGCAACGACCACCCCGAGCCGGAAAGUUCGUCAAACUCGGUCAUUUAGAGGAAGUAAAAGUCGUAACA